rnacentral:rRNA from 1 species
AAAACAUGUCCUUUAGAAUUAAAUUUAAGGUUUGACCUGCCCACUGAUUAAUUGAAUGGCCGCAGUAUUUUAACUGUGCAAAGGUAGCAUAAUCAUUAGUCUUUUAAUUGAAGGCUUGUAUGAAUGGUUGGACAAGAAAUAAAUUGUUUCAUAUAAAUUUAUAGAAUUUUAUUUUUUAGUAAAAAAGCUAAAAUUUAAUUAAAAGACGAGAAGACCCUAUAGAUCUUUAUAAUAAUUAAAUUUAAUUUAUUAAGAAUUUUUUAUAUUUAAUUUAUAUUAUUAUUUUAUUGGGGUGAUAGUAAGAUUAAUUUAACUCUUAUAUUAUUAAUACAUAUAUUCAUGAAUAAUUGAUCCAAUAAUAUUGAUUAAUAAAGUAAGUUACCUUAGGGAUAACAGCGUAAUUUUUUUAGAGAGUUCAUAUCGAUAAAAAAGAUUGCGACCUCGAUGUUGGAUUAAGAGAUAAAUUUAGGCGUAGCCGUUUAAAUUAAAAGUCUGUUCGACUUUUUAAUUCUUACAUGAUCUGAGUUCAAACC